AGGGACCUGCAUAUGUGCCCCGGGAGCGCAGUGCUCAGCAUGCGUGGCUGGGCAAGGCAAUGCCCCAGCUCCCCCCCAGCAGACUCCGUGCACACAGGUACAAAGGCACCUGCCCACACACGUGAGAAGGGAGGGUAAGGAGUAGGCAGCGCUGCUCUGGUGUGUGAAGGCGGCAGGUAAUUGCCUGUGCCGGAGCAAACAGGUGUGCUCCGUACACCUUGUCCAGGCUGGAUGGGUGCCUACGCCUCCGGCUGCUGGGAUAGCUCGGAGGGCUCAAGGCAUGCAGCAGGAACAGCUGCAGCUUGAGUACGCAGGGAAUUAGUGCGAGCAUUUGCAUGGCUACACACAGAGCAGCAUCCUCUCAACAAGAGACAUCCUCUGGCAAUGGAGAAAAUCCCAAGAGAAAGAAAAACAAAAUGCCCCAAAAUGGGCUUAGCAAAAUGUGAAAUAGAAUCUCACAGGUACGCAGAAGAAGAAG